rnacentral:rRNA from 1 species
GGAUGAACGCUGGCGGCGUGCCUAAUACAUGCAAGUCGAGCGAACGGACGAGAAGCUUGCUUCUCUGAUGUUAGCGGCGGACGGGUGAGUAACACGUGGAUAACCUACCUAUAAGACUGGGAUAACUUCGGGAAACCGGAGCUAAUACCGGAUAAUAUUUUGAACCGCAUGGUUCAAAAGUGAAAGACGGUCUUGCUGUCACUUAUAGAUGGAUCCGCGCUGCAUUAGCUAGUUGGUAAGGUAACGGCUUACCAAGGCAACGAUGCAUAGCCGACCUGAGAGGGUGAUCGGCCACACUGGAACUGAGACACGGUCCAGACUCCUACGGGAGGCAGCAGUAGGGAAUCUUCCGCAAUGGGCGAAAGCCUGACGGAGCAACGCCGCGUGAGUGAUGAAGGUCUUCGGAUCGUAAAACUCUGUUAUUAGGGAAGAACAUAUGUGUAAGUAACUGUGCACAUCUUGACGGUACCUAAUCAGAAAGCCACGGCUAACUACGUGCCAGCAGCCGCGGUAAUACGUAGGUGGCAAGCGUUAUCCGGAAUUAUUGGGCGUAAAGCGCGCGUAGGCGGUUUUUUAAGUCUGAUGUGAAAGCCCACGGCUCAACCGUGGAGGGUCAUUGGAAACUGGAAAACUUGAGUGCAGAAGAGGAAAGUGGAAUUCCAUGUGUAGCGGUGAAAUGCGCAGAGAUAUGGAGGAACACCAGUGGCGAAGGCGACUUUCUGGUCUGUAACUGACGCUGAUGUGCGAAAGCGUGGGGAUCAAACAGGAUUAGAUACCCUGGUAGUCCACGCCGUAAACGAUGAGUGCUAAGUGUUAGGGGGUUUCCGCCCCUUAGUGCUGCAGCUAACGCAUUAAGCACUCCGCCUGGGGAGUACGACCGCAAGGUUGAAACUCAAAGGAAUUGACGGGGACCCGCACAAGCGGUGGAGCAUGUGGUUUAAUUCGAAGCAACGCGAAGAACCUUACCAAAUCUUGACAUCCUUUGACAACUCUAGAGAUAGAGCCUUCCCCUUCGGGGGACAAAGUGACAGGUGGUGCAUGGUUGUCGUCAGCUCGUGUCGUGAGAUGUUGGGUUAAGUCCCGCAACGAGCGCAACCCUUAAGCUUAGUUGCCAUCAUUAAGUUGGGCACUCUAAGUUGACUGCCGGUGACAAACCGGAGGAAGGUGGGGAUGACGUCAAAUCAUCAUGCCCCUUAUGAUUUGGGCUACACACGUGCUACAAUGGACAAUACAAAGGGCAGCGAAACCGCGAGGUCAAGCAAAUCCCAUAAAGUUGUUCUCAGUUCGGAUUGUAGUCUGCAACUCGACUACAUGAAGCUGGAAUCGCUAGUAAUCGUAGAUCAGCAUGCUACGGUGAAUACGUUCCCGGGUCUUGUACACACCGCCCGUCACACCACGAGAGUUUGUAACACCCGAAGCCGGUGGAGUAACCUUUUAGGAGCUAGCCGUCGAAGGUGGGACAAAUGAUUGGGGUGAAGUCGUAACAAGGUAGCCGUAUCGGAAGGUGCGGCUG